UUCCGGUUGAUCCUGCCAGAGGCUACUGCUAUCGGGGUCCGACUAAGCCAUGCGAGUUGAGAGGGGUAAGCCCUCGGCAUAUUGCUCAGUAACACGCGGAUAACCUGCCCUUGGGUUUGGGAUAACCCCGGGAAACUGGGACUAAUACCGGAUAGAUCAAAGAAACUGGAAUGUUCUCUGAUCGAAAGCUCCGGCGCCCAAGGAUGGGUCUGCGGCCUAUCAGGUAGUAGUGGGUGUAACGUACCUACUAGCCUACGACGGGUAAGGGUUGUGAGAGCAAGAGCCCGGAGAUGGAUUCUGAGACAUGAAUCCAGGCCCUACGGGGUGCAGCAGGCGCGAAAACUUUACACUGCGGGAAACCGCGAUAAGGGGACCCCGAGUGCCAGCACCUAGUGCUGGCUGUCCAGCUGUUCAAAUAACAGUUGUUAGCAAGGGCCGGGCAAGACCGGUGCCAGCCGCCGCGGUAACACCGGCGGCCCGAGUGGUAGCCGUUAUUAUUGGGUUUAAAGGGUCCGUAGCCGGCCUAUUAAGUCUCUUGGGAAAUCUGGCGACUCAAUCGUCAGGCGUUCAAGAGAUACUGGUAGGCUUGGGACCGGGAGAGGUGGGAGGUACUCCAGGGGUAGGGGUGAAAUCUCGUAAUCCUUGGGGGACCACCGAUGGCGAAGGCAUCCCACCAGAACGGGUCCGACGGUGAGGGACGAAAGCUGGGGGCACGAACCGGAUUAGAUACCCGGGUAGUCCCAGCCGUAAACGAUGCUCGCUAGGUGUCAGGUGCGGUGCGACCGCAUCUGGUGCCGCAGUGAAAACUUGAAGCGAGUCACCUGGGAAGUACGGUCGCAAGGCUGAAACUUAAAGGAAUUGGCGGGGGAGCACUACAACGGGUGGAGCCUGCGGUUCAAUUGGAGUCAACGCCGGA
rnacentral:rRNA from 1 species